rnacentral:tRNA from 1 species
CAAAUGCUAGCUCAGUUGAUAGAGCAUGAGACUUUUAGUCUCAGGUUUGUGGUUUCGAGUCCCACAUUUUA